UACAGAGGGGGCAAGCGUUGUUCGGAAUUACUGGGCGUAAAGGGCGCGUAGGCGGCCUGCUAAGUCGAACGUGAAAUCCCUGGGCUCAACCCAGGAACUGCGUCCGAUACUGGUUGGCUUGAAUCCGGGAGAGGGAUGUGGAAUUCCAGGUGUAGCGGUGAAAUGCGUAGAUAUCUGGAGGAACACCGGUGGCGAAGGCGACAUCCUGGGACCGGUAUUGACGCUGAGGCGCGAAAGCCAGGGGAGCAAACGGG
rnacentral:rRNA from 1 species